rnacentral:rRNA from 1 species
AUUGAACGCUGGCGGCAUGCCUUACACAUGCAAGUCGAACGGCAGCACGGGGCAACCUGGUGGCGAGUGGCGAACGGGUGAGUAAUGCAUCGGAACGUACCUUUCAGUGGGGGAUAACGUAGCGAAAGUUACGCUAAUACCGCAUAUUCUGUGAGCAGGAAAGCAGGGGAUCGCAAGACCUUGCGCUGAUUGAGCGGCCGAUGUCAGAUUAGCUAGUUGGUGAGGUAAAGGCUCACCAAGGCGACGAUCUGUAGCGGGUCUGAGAGGAUGAUCGGCCACACUGGAACUGAGACACGGUCCAGACUCCUACGGGGGGCAGCAGUGGGGAAUUUUGGACAAUGGGGGCAACCCUGAUCCAGCCAUGCCGCGUGAGUGAAGAAGGCCUUCGGGUUGUAAAGCUCUUUCGGCCGGGAAGAAAUCGCACGGGCUAAUACCCUGUGUGGAUGACGGUACCGGAAUAAGAAGCACCGGCUAACUACGUGCCAGCCGCCGCCGUAAUAC